UGAAAGAUAAGCUAAUAAAGCUAAUAGGUUCAUACCCUGUAAAUGAAAGUUCACUCUAUUCUCUUUCUA
rnacentral:tRNA from 1 species